rnacentral:rRNA from 1 species
UAGUCGAUACGAGCGAGACCUGCGCCGUCAAUUGCUACUGUGAUCUCCGGAUCAUGGGCACAUUGGCGGGACCGCUGGCGCUAAGUCAGAGGAAGGUGCAGGCAACGACAGGUCCGUAUGCCCCGAAUCUCCUGGGCUACACGCGCACUACAAAGGAUCGGACAAUGGGCUCCAACCCCGAGAGGGGACGGCAAUCCUGAAACCGAUUCGUAGUUCGAAUCGGGGGCUGCAACUCGCCCCCGUGAAGCUGGAACGCGUAGUAAUCGCAGGUCAACAUCCUGCGGUGAAUAUGCCCCUGCUCCUU